rnacentral:rRNA from 1 species
AGAGUUUGAUCCUGGCUCAGGACGAACGCUGGCGGCGUGCUUAACACAUGCAAGUCGAACGGUGAACUCCGCUUGCGGGGGGAUCAGUGGCGAACGGGUGAGUAACACGUGGCAACCUGCCCCUGGCUCUGGGAUAACUCCAAGAAAUUGGGGCUAAUACCGGAUAUGACUGCUGACCGCAUGGUCUGGUGGUGGAAAGAUUUAUCGGCUGGGGAUGGGCCCGCGGCCUAUCAGCUUGUUGGUGGGGUAGUGGCCUACCAAGGCGACGACGGGUAGCCGGCCUGAGAGGGUGACCGGCCACACUGGGACUGAGACACGGCCCAGACUCCUACGGGAGGCAGCAGUGGGGAAUAUUGCGCAAUGGGCGGAAGCCUGACGCAGCGACGCCGCGUGGGGGAUGACGGCCUUCGGGUUGUAAACCUCUUUCAGCAGGGACGAAGCCGGAAGGUGACGGUACCUGCAGAAGAAGCACCGGCCAACUACGUGCCAGCAGCCGCGGUAAUACGUAGGGUGCAAGCGUUGUCCGGAAUUAUUGGGCGUAAAGAGCUCGUAGGCGGUUUGUUGCGUCGGCUGUGAAAUCCCGAGGCUCAACCUCGGGUCUGCAGUCGAUACGAGCAAACUAGAGUGUUGCAGGGGAGACUGGAAUUCCUGGUGUAGCGGUGAAAUGCGCAGAUAUCAGGAGGAACACCGGUGGCGAAGGCGGGUCUCUGGGCAACAACUGACGCUGAGGAGCGAAAGCGUGGGGAGCGAACAGGAUUAGAUACCCUUGUAGUCC